AUUUUGGUGGCCGAUUUAGGUGGUAGAUUGUAAAUCUAUUUAUGGUUUUAUGCCCCUUGUAUA
rnacentral:tRNA from 1 species